rnacentral:tRNA from 1 species
GCGGAAGUGGCGGAACUGGCAGACGCGCUAGACUUAGGAUCUAGUCCCGAGAGAUCGGGGUGGGGGUUCGAGUCCCCCCUUUCGCACCA